CUGGCGACCGGCGCACGGGUGAGUAACACGUAUCCAACCUGCCGAUAACUUGGGGAUAGCCUUUCGAAAGAAAGAUUAAUACCCGAUGGCAUAAUUAGACCGCAUGGUCUUAUUAUUAAAGAAUUUCGGUUAUCGAUGGGGAUGCGUUCCAUUAGGCAGUUGGUGAGGUAACGGCUCACCAAACCUUCGAUGGAUAGGGGUUCUGAGAGGAAGGUCCCCCACAUUGGAACUGAGACACGGUCCAA
rnacentral:rRNA from 1 species